AGGGUUCUUCCCAUGACUGUAAGGUAGUGAUGUUUCCUCUUCCUCCACAGCCCAGGCUUGCAUCCCUCCCUGCGGUAAGGACUUCAUCUAAAACUUGGAAAUUGCGGGGUAAGGGAGGCGGUCGGGGACGAAACGUACGACAUCAAGUGUGGGAAAGCGGGUGGGCUUCACAUCCUUAGGAAGCCAAUAAGAUCCCUGGAGAAAAGGAAGAAAACCAAGUAUUGCUCUAAAUCCUCAGAAGGUGUGUGUGAGAGCCGAAGCAAACCAAUAGGAAUCCUAGAGGGCGGAGAGGAGUGAGAGUCGGCCAAAGACAGCAGGGAGGGCGGGGUCAAGAUGCCACCUGGCCGAUGGACCCCGGGAAGCUGCAUGGAUCUCAAAUGGGCCAAGGGCCCCGGGCUUGGAAGGGCAGGUGGCGCCUAGACCCAGCGUUCCCGCUCCACAGGUCUCCAGGAGUUCGCCCGGCGUUUCCUCUGCAGCGGGUGCUACUCUAGGGUCUGCGACCUCCCGCUGGACUGCCCAGGUGAGGGGGCGGGGCCUCGGGGUGCAGGAGGCCAACCUGAGAAAAGGGACCAGAGCACCGAGGGGCAUAAGCUGGUGGCGAGGCCAGACGUGGUCGGGGCCCAGCGAGUGAACCCUGCUCCGUCUUCAGUUCAGGAUGUGACAGUGACUCGGGGCGACCAGGCUAUGUUUUCUUGCAUCGUAAACUUCCAGCUGCCAAAGGAGGAGAUCACCUAUUCCUGGAAGUUCGCAGGAGGAGCUCCGGACUCAGGACUUGUCCUAUUUCCGAGAUAUGCCGCGGGCCGAAGGAUACCUGGCGCGGAUCCGGCCGGCUCAGCUCACGCACCGCGGGACGUUCUCCUGCGUGAUCAAGCAAGACCAGCGCCCCCUGGCCCGGCUCUACUUCUUUCUUAACGUCCUCGGGGCCCUCGCAUCAGCGAGUGCGACAGUGUUGGCGUGGAUGUUCUUUCGAUGGUACUGCAGUGGCAACUAACAAAGGUAUCUUUCCUCCUUCCCUAUCCUAUUUCCAUCCUGAAAAUAAAGAAUAUAUUUCAACUCUAGAUUGUUUCAUCUCCGAAGGUGGUCACUACUAACUCAGGUAGGAGGAGGUGCAGCAAGCCCACACAUGCCCAGAUGAAUAUGGCCCGCAUAAUGACAGUGAUAGGCAUAGC
rnacentral:lncRNA from 1 species